rnacentral:rRNA from 1 species
AGGGUUUGAUUCUGGCUCAGGACGAACGCUGGCGGCGUGCCUAACACAUGCAAGUCGAGCGAGGAAGAGGAGAUAGCUUGCUAACUCCUGUUUCUAGCGGCGGACGGGUGAGUAACGCGUGAGCAACCUGCCUUUAUCAGGGGGAUAACGCAUCGAAAGAUGUGCUAAUACCGCGUAAGACCACAGCCUCACAUGGGGCAGGGGUCAAAGGAGCAAUCCGGAUAAAGAUGGGCUCGCGUCCGAUUAGCUAGUUGGUGAGAUAACAGCCCACCAAGGCGACGAUCGGUAGCCGACCUGAGAGGGUGAUCGGCCACAUUGGAACUGAGAUACGGUCCAG